AAGACCCUAGUAAAAAUAAUACCUUGUUUUGUCAAGACAAAAUUGUGGGUUAAACCCCCACGAGUCUUA
rnacentral:tRNA from 1 species